rnacentral:lncRNA from 1 species
AGUCCUUCGCCGUCCCUCGCCGUCCUUCGCCAUCGCACGCCACCGCACCCCAUCUCUCGAAAUCUGCAGACAUCUUGAUUUUUCCCACGCUGUCUGUCAGGUCUCCGCCGCCACUCGACGCCAGGGCGCCGGGUGAGUCCACAGCAGGGCGCAUGGUCGGCUCCACUCUCACCAUCGGGGGAAACUGAGGCCCCGGGGAAGGCGGCCAGAGAGGUCAGGCCCUGUCCUUGGUGCAGUGUCUCGUCCUCUUUGCCGGAGUGAGCCCCCCAGGAUUCGCGUGUCCUCGGGAAAGACACUGGCAGGCCUUGUGGGCUGUGCUGCACCUCGGACGGCUUCGCACCAGCCAGCGCCCUCUCUCUCCUGCAGCACUCUGAUCUGCACCCCCUGAGGGGCUUCCACUGUCCGCGGGGUGAGAAUGCCCCUGGGAGUGUCACAUGACUGCCGCCCCAUGUGUGUGAGAGGCGUCCUCUGGGAGAGCAUGGAUCCUGAGGUCCCAGGAACAUCCCGAGAGCCAAGUUCCCAGAUGCCAGCCAAGGGCCAUCUGACCUGUUUUGAAUCUCAAUUUCCUGAUACAGAAAACAAAGGAUUGUCAGCUGACCUCUGUCCUGUGUGCCCAGUGGCCCCAGGUGACGUGUCUUCAAGAAGAGGCUGAGCUGCGGUGCUUGUAAGGGUCUCAUUCUGUCACCCAGGCUGGAGUGCAGUGGUGCAAUGAUGGCUCACUGCAGCCUCGACCUGGGCUCAAGUGAUCCUCCACCUCAGCUUCCUGAGUAGCUGGGACCACAGGUCUCAGCCUUAGAUCCAAGGACAGUCCAAGGAAGUCCUAAGACCAUGGAGUUGGUGAUCUGGGAUCUGGGUUUGCUGAUAUUUCUCACCGUGAAUCUCUUGGUGGUGUUUGUGGGCACGAGAGGGGCAGAGAAUGGAGAGUGAGGCUACCACAUGAAGCGUCACCAGAGCUGCUCCCUGCUGCCUGCUCAGAGCACCCCGGAUCCACUGUUCAAUCUGCACAAGAUUCGGGGUCCAGACAUGGGAGACUUCAGCUGCCUCAGAGGACCGUGGACAGGGAAGGCCAGCCUCGCAUCCCUCUGUCCAUGCCUGGAAUGACUUUAAUAACCAAGAGUUUUAUUUUUGAAUUUGUAGCUGUCGUUCACUUUUUACCCACCCAUUCAAUAAACCUUACAGAAUUGCUCCA